rnacentral:lncRNA from 1 species
CUUUCAGAUCCAUCUCAAAUUCUGCUUUGCCAUUAUCAUUCCAGUUAGAAAAGUUCUCACUACUGUUUAAGUCCCCACAAACACUUUGUUACAACUUCUUUAGGGCACUUACCAGGCAAACUUGAAUAGCCAUCACUAUGUUAAGAAGCACAUUUGACCUAUCUAAAAUAUUGGAAGUUGGAGGCAGGUGGUUGUAAAGCAGAUGUUCUCAAUUGUUUUGCUCUCAGGACUGCUUUACUCUCCUAAUGAUUUUUUAGGACUCUAAAGAGUCCUUUGGAAAUCUGUAUCUUUUGUUUACUUUUUAUGCGGUGUGGGCAGGGGGCGCAAGACAGAGUGGUGAGCAUUUUGGUGAGUAACGCUUGCUUCAGAGUUGAGAAGAGCUUCUCACACCAUAUCCCUGUCUUCCUCCAGUUCUCAGCACAAUUGUUGCUCUUCAGUUAUACCACAAUCUGAAUCAAAAAAGUAUUUUUUAAUGAUUUAUCCCUUUAUUACAACCAACCCUGAUAAUGCUUGUUAGUGCCUAUCACCAGAUCUCCAAAGUGUACUCAUCCAGCUCAGUUAUCAGACAUGUCUACACAAGACCCUAUAAUGCCUGGAAGUUGACUGCAAAGGAGAGAAUCUAGAAUAGCCAGGCCUAUCAGUCUCACAGUAUCACCCCUUACCCUUAACAUUCCAUAUAGCUGUAGAGUUCAUCUGUUUGUCCAUCUGCUAAAAUGAGAAAAGAAAAAUUCAUGCACUGAUUUAAAACAAACCAAAAAAAAAACUAAAAAUAAAAUCCUUUUCUUUCUAGCUGAACAAAAAUGUGCAGUUAAUACUUGGCACUUGAAAAUGCAGUAGAGAAUGUGGAACCAAGCUGUCUGUAUAUCUGGUAGCUCUCUGCUUUGUUUUCCUUACCAGUAUUCUGCCUAAUGUUUGCUUCUGUGAUGGUUAUAUUGCCUAGCAAGCACACCUGUGGUUGUGAAAAUAGUAUAGCAAAAAAGAAAAAUCCCCGGUUAUUGAUGUACUAGAUUUGUGUAUGUCUUUUAAACAGUUCUAGUUUCACCUUACACAGAAUAAUCAGGAAAAGUGUAAAAACUCAAAAGUGAAAUAAAAAAUUUUAUCAGUUAAAAAAAAAAAGAGAGCUUUU